rnacentral:rRNA from 1 species
AACGAACGCUGGCGGCAUGCCUAACACAUGCAAGUCGAACGACACCUUCGGGUUUAGUGUCGCACGGGUGCGUAACGCGUGGGAACCUGCCCUUAGGUUCGGAAUAACUUCCCGAAAGGGGUGCCAAUAGCGGAUAAUGUCCUCGGACCAAAGAUUGAUUGCCUUCGGGUGGGCCCGAGGGGGAUUAGCUUGUGGGUAGCGUAAAAGCCUACCAAGGCGACGAUCGAUAGCUGGUUAGAGAGGAGGGUCAGCCACACUGGGACUAGGACACGGCCGGGAAUUCUGGGGGAGGGAGGCGAGGCGGAUAUAGCAAUGUGGGGGGCGGGAUGAUGGAGCAAUGGUGGGAGAGCGAUGAAGGCCUUAGGGUUGUACAGCUGUUUUACCCGGGAUGAUAAUGACAGUACCGGAAGAAUAAGCUCCGGCUAACUCCGUG